rnacentral:lncRNA from 1 species
UUUAUGCCAAUCCCUAAAUUCUUGAAAACAUGAGUUUACAAUGAAAACACUAACAGAUGCUCAGUGGUAGAAAGCAGAGGAGUGGUUGCCAUGGAAUCAGAUGGCAGGGAAGGUAGCUCACUUUUUAAACUCACUGGCAGCGAACACGUAGCACCAACAAGUGGACAGCAAUGCUGGCAGACAUUUAUCUCUGCACAGCACUUGGAAGGGCUGCGUGGAGGCUACUGCUGUGACCCAGCACUGGAAACUGGGAUAACCAGGGAAAAGCUGAGCAUCAGCAGCUCUACAGACAUUGACAACAGAAAGACCUAAAAAAUGCAAGGAAAUGCAGAAUAAGUUGAAGCGAGGAAACAAAAAGGGCAGAGUCACACGGUUGAUCUUUGUUAAUUCCGGGAUCUACUCUAGAGCUAUGUACUUUUUUUCAUAGGUUGGU